GAUACUUUGGAGAUCCGACAAGUACCUUGGACGAGCGGGAUUUUGCAAGGGCACGCAUCGAAGGAGCGGCGAGAGAGUGGAGUAUGAAUAGAAGGGGAAGAAAACAUGUGGCAUGCAUUGCUUGUCCUUUUCAAAAGAUUCAUUGGUAGAAGUUGCCUUACAAACUCAGCUUUCCUGGUACCAUUUAAACUGCCAUGCUCAGAGACAGGCAAAUGUGACAAAUCUAAAGGAGUUAAAGGGUUGAACCAAGAUGAACAAUUAGUAGUAGAAUGCACAGA